rnacentral:rRNA from 1 species
AGUGAGCGCUGGCGGUAGGCCUAACACAUGCAAGUCGAACGGCAGCACAGUAAGAGCUUGCUCUUACGGGUGGCGAGUGGCGGACGGGUGAGGAAUGCAUCGGAAUCUACUUUUUCGUGGGGGAUAACGUAGGGAAACUUACGCUAAUACCGCAUACGACCUACGGGUGAAAGCAGGGGAUCUUCGGACCUUGCGCGAUUGAAUGAGCCGAUGUCGGAUUAGCUAGUUGGCGGGGUAAAGGCCCACCAAGGCGACGAUCCGUAGCUGGUCUGAGAGGAUGAUCAGCCACACUGGAACUGAGACACGGUCCAGACUCCUACGGGAGGCAGCAGUGGGGAAUAUUGGACAAUGGGCGCAAGCCUGAUCCAGCCAUACCGCGUGGGUGAAGAAGGCCUUCGGGUUGUAAAGCCCUUUUGUUGGGAAAGAAAAGCAGCAGGUUAAUACCCCGCUGUUCUGACGGUACCCAAAGAAUAAGCACCGGCUAACUUCGUG